rnacentral:rRNA from 1 species
GAUGAACGCUGGCGGCGUGCCUAAUACAUGCAAGUCGAACGCUGAAGGAGGAGCUUGCUCUUCUGGAUGAAUUGCGAACGGGUGAGUAACGCGUAGGUAACCUGCCUGGUAGCGGGGGAUAACUAUUGGAAACGAUAGCUAAUACCGCAUGACAACAGUUAUUGCAUGAUAACUGUUUAAAAGGGGCAACUGCUCCACUACCAGAUGGACCUGCGUUGUAUUAGCUAGUUGGUGAGGUAACGGCUCACCAAGGCGACGAUACAUAGCCGACCUGAGAGGGUAAUCGGCAACACUGGGACUGAGACACGGCCCAGACUCCUACGGGAGGCAGCAGUAGGGAAUCUUCGGCAAUGGACGGAAGGCUGACCGAGCAACGCCGCGUGAGUGAAGAAGGUUUUCGGAUCGUAAAGCUCGGUUGUAAGAGAAGAACGAGUGUGAGAGUGGAAAGUUCACACUGUGACGGUAUCUGACCAGAAAGGGACGGCUAACUACGUG